rnacentral:rRNA from 1 species
UACGAAGGGGGCGAGCGUUGUUCGGAUUUACUGGGCGUAAAGGGCGCGCAGGCGGUUCUGUUUGUCGAGUGUGAAAGCCCCGGGCUCAACCUGGGAACUGCGCUCGAAACGGCGGAACUAGAGUUCGGGAGAGGAGAGUGGAAUUCCCAGUGUAGAGGUGAAAUUCGUGGAUAUUGGGAAGAACACCGGUGGCGAAGGCGGCUCUCUGGACCGAUACUGACGCUGAGGAGCGAAAGCGUGGGGAGCGAACAGG